CAGCAGCCGCGGGAAUACGGAGGGUGCAAGCGUUGUCCGGAUUUAUUGGGUUUAAAGGGUGCGUAGGCGGCUAUUUAAGUCAGCGGUGAAAGACUCCGGCUCAACCGGAGCAGUGCCAUUGAUACUGGAUAGCUUGAGUGUUGGAGGGGUACAUGGAAUUGAUGGUGUAGCGGUGAAAUGCAUAGAUACCAUCAGGAACACCGAUAGCGAAGGCAUUGUACUGGCCAACAACUGACGCUGAGGCACGAAAGCAUGGGGAGCGAACAGGAUUAGAUACCCCAGUAGUCCCUGUCUCUUAUAC
rnacentral:rRNA from 1 species